rnacentral:rRNA from 1 species
GACGAACGCUGGCGGCGUGCUUAACACAUGCAAGUCGAACGGAAAGGCCCUGCUUUUGUGGGGUGCUCGAGUGGCGAAAGGGUGAGUAACACGUGAGUAACCUGCCCUUGACUUUGGGAUAACUUCAGGAAACUGGGGCUAAUACCGGAUAGGAGCUCCUGCUGCAUGGUGGGGGUUGGAAAGUUUCGGCGGUUGGGGAUGGACGCGCGGCUUAUCAGCUUGUUGGUGGGGUAGUGGCUUACCAAGGCUUUGACGGGUAGCCGGCCUGAGAGGGUGACCGGCCACAUUGGGACUGGGAUACGGCCCAGACUCCUACGGGAGGCAGCAGUGGGGAAUAUUGCACAAUGGGCGGAAGCCUGAUGCAGCAACGCCGCGUGCGGGAUGACGGCCUUCGGGUUGUAAACCGCUUUCGCCUGUGACGAAGCGUGAGUGACGGUAAUGGGUAAAGAAGCACCGGCUAACUACGUG